rnacentral:snRNA from 1 species
GUGCUUGCUUCAGCAGCACAUAUACUAAAAUUUGAAUGAUACAGAGAAGAUUAGCAUGGCCCCUGCACAAGGAUGACAUUUUUUAAAAAUAAAAAAAAUUGAAAUAA